rnacentral:rRNA from 1 species
AGAGUUUGAUCAUGGCUCAGAGUGAACGCUGGCGGCGUGGAUUAGGCAUGCAAGUCGAACGAUACCGCAAGGUAUAGUGGCAAAAGGGCGAGUAACACGUGAGUAAUCUACCUUCGUGUGGGGAACAACCUUGGGAAACCGAGGCUAAAACCGCAUAAGACCACGGCCUGGCAUCAGGCUGUGAUCAAAUGGGGGGACCGCAAGGCCUCUAGCAUGAAGAUGAGCUCGCGUCCUAUCAGCUUGUUGGCGGGGUAAUGGCCCACCAAGGCUUUUGACGGGUAGCUGGACUGAGAGGUUGGUCAGCCGCAUUGGGACUGAGACACUGCCCAGACUCCUACGGGAGGCUGCAGUCGAGGAUAUUUAGCAAUGCCCGAAAGGGUGACUAUGCGACGCCGCGUGUGCGAUGAAGGUCUUCGGAUCGUAAAGCACUGUCAGCAGGGAGGAAUCUCGGGGGUUCGAACAGAGCCGCCGGGUGACAGUACCUGCAGAGGAAGCCACGGCUAACUCCGUGCCAGCAGCCGCGGUAAUACGGAGGUGGCAGGGCUUACUCGGAUUGAUUGGGUGUAAAGGGUGUG